rnacentral:misc_RNA from 1 species
AAGUCGUAACAAGGUUUCCGUAGGUGAACCUGCGGAAGGAUCAUUAACACGUAUCCAACGUUAAACCCCCCCGUGCACACAGCGACCUGCUCCCCUCAAUUUCGGUCUUUUGGCAAUCCCUGGUAAAUCAUCGCCGAACAGUUUUGAUUCAGGAACAUCCAAAGGGCCGGGGUAGGGUAGAGCCGGAGAACGGACCGAGUGGUAGUUCAAAGGUGUCUUCUGUCGCGCACUGUGGAAAGGAAGACGCUUUACGAAUCACUGUCCAACACGGUCAGUGACCGGGUUCCUGGUCCUAGACCCCAUAUUCACCACCACAGUCGCAGACGAGGUAGGGAUACGUCCCUACCACCAAAUAAAUACUUGAACAACUGUUAACAAUGGAUAUCUUGGUUCUC